UUCUGGUUAGUUUGGGUUUACGAGUAUCCCCUGCCCAAUGAUUUUGAUUGAAUGGCCUCUUUUGAGCUAAGGUAGCGUAAUUAGUUGUUUCUUAAAUAGUUACUUGUUUGAAUGGGGGAACCGGGGAGGGUAGUUUUUUUUUCAAAAAGUGUGAAUUUGGCUAAGAGUAAAAAAUCUCUUAAAUUUUAAAGGGACGAGAAGACCCAAGAAACUUUCAUAUAAAGGUGAAUGUGUAUGUUUAAUGGGGUAUUGACAUUAAAAUUUAAUUUUUUUGUUUAGGAGAUGAUUUUGUGCAGUAAAAGUUACUUUUGGGGUAACAGGGCAAUGGGAUUUUGGAGUUCUGAUCCAAUUUCAUGUUUGCUACCUCGAUGUUGAAUUAGGUUUUUUUUUCUGAGCAAAAGAAGAAAAAGUAGGGCCUGUUCGGCCUAUAUUACCUACA
rnacentral:rRNA from 1 species